rnacentral:rRNA from 1 species
GAGGAAUAUUGCGCAAUGGGGGAAACCCUGACGCAGCGACGCCGCGUGAGUGAGGAAGGCCUUCGGGUCGUAAAGCUCUGUCAAAGGGAAAGAAGUGCAUGGUGGCUAAUACCUGCCAUGUUUGACGGUACCCUUAAAGGAAGCACCGGCUAACUCCGUGCCAGCAGCCGCGGUAAUACGGAGGGUGCAAGCGUUGUUCGGAAUCACUGGGCGUAAAGGGCGCGCAGGCGGUUUGGUAAGUCAGAUGUGAAAGCCCACGGCUUAACCGUGGAAGUGCAUUUGAUACUGCCAGACUUGAGUACCAGAGGGGAAAGUGGAAUUCCCGGUGUAGAGGUGAAAUUCGUAGAUAUCGGGAGGAAUACCGGUGGCGAAGGCGACUUUCUGGCUGAGUACUGACGCUGAGGCGCGAAAGCGUGGGGAGCAAAC